GAGAGGCCUCGGUUGGUAAACUGCUUUUCCCUGGGACGAGAACGGACGGUACCAGAGGAAGAAGCCCCGGCUAACUACGUGC
rnacentral:rRNA from 1 species